rnacentral:tRNA from 1 species
GGUUAUGGCUCAGUGGUAGAGUGCUUGCCUAGCAUGUGUGAGGCACUGGGUUCAAUUCUCAGCACCA